UACGAGGGGGGCAAGCGUUGUUCGGAAUUAUUGGGCGUAAAGGGUGCGUAGGCGGUCUGAUAAGUCAUCUGUGAAAUCUAUGGGCUCAACCCAUAGUCUGCAGGCGGAAACUGUCGGGCUUGAGUAUGGGAGAGGUGAGUGGAAUUUCCGGUGUAGCGGUGAAAUGCGUAGAUAUCGGAAGGAACACCUGUGGCGAAAGCGGCGCACGUGGACCAUAACUGACGCUGGAUGCGCGAAAGCUAGGGGAGCAAACAGG
rnacentral:rRNA from 1 species